CAGCCGCCGCGGUAAUACUUGCAGCCCAAGUGGUGGUCGAUUUUAUUGAGUCUUAAACGUUCGUAGCCGGUUUGGUAAAUCUUUGGGUAAAUCGGGAAGCUCAACUUUCCGACUUCCGAAGAGACUGUCAAACUUGGGACCGGGAGAGGCUAGAGGUACUUCUGGGGUAGGGGUAAAAUCCUGUAAUCCUAGAAGGACCACCGGUGGCGAAGGCGUCUAGCUAGAACGGAUCCGACGGUGAGGGACGAAGCCCUGGGUCGCAAACGGGAUUAGAUACCCCGGUAGUCCAGGGUGUAAACGCUGCCGACUUGGUGUUGGAGGCCCUUCGGGGGCAUUCAGUGCCGGAGAGAAGUUGUUAAGUCGGCUACUUGGGGAGUACGUCCGCAAGGAUGAAACUUAAAGGAAUUGGCGG
rnacentral:rRNA from 1 species